rnacentral:rRNA from 1 species
GAUGAACGCUGGCGGCGUGCCUAAUACAUGCAAGUCGAGCGAACAGAUGAGGAGCUUGCUCCUCUGACGCUAGCGGCGGACGGGUGAGUAACACGUGGAUAACCUACCUAUAAGACUGGGAUAACUUCGGGAAACCGGAGCUAAUACCGGAUAAUAUAUUGAACCGUAUGGUUCAAUAGUGAAAGACGGUUUUGCUGUCACUUAUAGAUGGAUCCGCGCCGCAUUAGCUAGUUGGUAAGGUAACGGCUUACUAAGGCAACGAUGCGUAGCCGACCUGAGAGGGUGAUCGGCCACACUGGAACUGAGACACGGUCCAGACUCCUACGGGAGGCAGCAGUAGGGAAUCUUCCGCAAUGGGCGAAAGCCUGACGGAGCAACGCCGCGUGAGUGAUGAAGGUCUUCGGAUCGUAAAACUCUGUUAUUAGGGAAGAACAAAUGUGUAAGUAACUAUGCACGUCUUGACGGUACCUAAUCAGAAAGCCACGGCUAACUACGUG